rnacentral:lncRNA from 1 species
GGAUGGAUUAUUGGAGUGUGUGAUCCCAUGGACGAGAAAACCUACGUGUGCAGAACAAGCACCACUGCCCUUCUCAGAGUUAAACCCGUCCCAAGCAGAAGGAGGAGCAGAAGAGAAGUGGGGAAGGCUGGAGCAUCGUGGCCGCCCAGAAAACAUUGGAUCCAGUCUGGUCACCCAAAUACCGCCUGCCUGCAGCUUCUGAGCAGAGCUCAGAAAAAAGAAAACCUAUCCAUACUGUGGGUUUGUGUUUGUUUUCCAAGCUCCCCCGUUGAAAUUCCAUGUCAAAGAUGAAGUGGGAUAGUGGCAACAACCAGGAGAGGAGGAAGAAGGAUUCCUACUUCACAUGUGGGAUGGGUGCCACCAGGACACAUCCCUGCAGUUCCAGUCCCAGCACCCUCUCCGGAUUUACAAGUCCCUGGAGCGGAGCAGGGACAGCGGCCGAGAGCCCGGUGCUUUGCCAUCGCUGCUGUGGGCUGGAAUGAGAGGGGGCAGCUGCUGGAGGAUGCUGGAGUCAUUGUGCUGCCGGACAGGCUCUCAUCACGCACAGGAUAAAACCCCAGCUCCUGUGGCCGGGGCCCUGUGGGGUUUCACAGGGCAGCUCCUGCCAGCAAGGCCAGCCGAUGACUACAAGCCAAGUGGCUUCCCUGUCCUGGCAUUCCAGGGACACCUCUGGACCAUGGAUGUUUGCAAAAUGGCUUUUGUUUGCUUAACUCCUUGCACUGGAACAGGCAGAGGCACAGCUCCCACCGUCUUGUCCCUCCUCCACAGGCAGGGACAGGGUGACAAUCCUGCUGCCCAGGGCAGGCAGCUCAGUGCCAGCCCUGCCAUCCCACCCCUGGAAAAAAUAGCACCUUUUGAGUGCGUUAUUUGUACUUUCCUUUUCUGA